GACAGAGGAUGCAAGCGUUAUCCGGAAUGAUUGGGCGUAAAGCGUCUGUAGGUGGCUUUUUAAGUCCGCCGUCAAAUCCCAGGGCUCAACCCUGGACAGGCGGUGGAAACUACCAAGCUGGAGUACGGUAGGGGCAGAGGGAAUUUCCGGUGGAGCGGUGAAAUGACGUAGAUAUCCUGAGGAACACCGGUGGCGAAAGCGGCGUGCUGGACACCUUCUGACGCUGAGGCGCGAAAGCCAGGGGAGCGAACGGG
rnacentral:rRNA from 1 species